UGUUUGACAAUCUACAAACAACCUCUCCCUCAAAGCUCACUCCAAACUCCCUAAAAAUCACAGUAAGAGCCAUACCAUAUGGCAAAGGAGCCUUGGAUCUGCUCAAGGCCUCUCUCAUGACAUCGAUUAACAAAAAAGAUAGAUUCAGGAGAGUCUCGGAGACAAUAUGAUACAUCAAGCAAAUGUCUCGAUCAGUUAUCAAAUCAUAUCUUUCUUCGUUCCUCAGCCUCUAAGGACCUCACUGACUUCCUUCUCUGUGGCAACCAUAUCUUGGGGGCUAUUGUCCCAAAGAGAGUAGGAGAACCGAUCAAGAGAAUAGAGAAGGGUGAAGGAUGGAUGGAAAUGAGGAGAAGAGGGUUUAGGGGUGAUUGUCAUGGAUUUUGCAAGUUAGGGCUUG
rnacentral:lncRNA from 1 species